rnacentral:rRNA from 1 species
GACGUAGGGGGCGAGCGUUGUCCGGAAUCAUUGGGCGUAAAGAGCACGUAGGCGGCCUGUUAAGUCGGAUGUGAAAACCCGUGGCUCAACUGCGGGACUGCAUUUGAUACUGGCAGGCUAGAGUCCAGUAGAGGAAAGUGGAAUUCCCAGUGUAGCGGUGAAAUGCGCAGAUAUUGGGAAGAACACCGGUGGCGAAGGCGGCUUUCUGGGCUGAGACUGACGCUGAGGUGCGAAAGCUAGGGGAGCGAACAGG